GACAGAGGCCUCGAGCGUUAGGCGGAAUCACUGGGCUUAAAGCGUGUGUAGGCGGACCGCUAAGUGUCUUGUGAAAUCCCACGGCUCACCCGUGGAACCGCUGGGCAUACUGGGGGUCUUGGGCCAUUCAGGGGCGACUGGAACAAGCGGUGGAGCGGUGAAAUGCGUAGAUAUCGCUUGGAACGCCGACGGUGAAAACAGGUCGCUGGGAAUGUGCCGACGCUGAGACACGAAAGCCAGGGGAGCAAACGGG
rnacentral:rRNA from 1 species